UCAAUAAGCGGAGGAAAAGAAACCAACAGGGAUUGCCUUAGUAACGGCGAGUGAAGCGGCAACAGCUCAAAUUUGAAAUCUGGCCCUCGGGUCCGAAUUGUAAUUUGUAGAGGAUGAUUUUGGUGCGGUAUCUUCCGAGUUCCUUGGAACAGGACGCCUUAGAGGGUGAGAGCCCCGUACGGUUGAAUGCCUAGCCUCUGUAAAUCUCCUUCGACGAGUCGAGUAGUUUGGGAAUGCUGCUCUAAAUGGGAGGUAAAUUUCUUCUAAAGCUAAAUAUUGGCCAGAGACCGAUAGCGCACAAGUAGAGUGAUCGAAAGAUGAAAAGCACUUUGAAAAGAGGGUUAAAUAGCACGUGAAAUUGUUGAAAGGGAAGGAUUUGUGACCAGACUUUUUCUGGGCGGAUCAUCCGGGGUUCUCUCCGGUGCACUUUGCCCAGUAAAGGCCAGCAUCGAUUUUCGGCGGCGGAUAAAAGCAGUGGGAAUGUGGCUCCCUACGGGGAGUGUUAUAGCCCAUUGUAUAAUACGCUGCUGGGGAUCGAGGUACGCGCUUCUGCAAGGAUGCUGGCGUAAUGGUUAUCAAUCACCCGUCUUGAAACACGGACCAAGGAGUCGAACAUUUAUGCGAGUGUUUGGGUGUUAAACCCUCACGCGUAAUGAAAGUGAACGGAGGUGAGAGCCCGUACGGGUGCAUCAUCGACCGAUCCUGAAGUUUUCGGAUGGAUUUGAGUAAGAGCAUAACUGUUCGGACCCGAAAGAUGGUGAACUAUGCGUGGAUAGGGUGAAGCCAGAGGAAACUCUGGUGGAGGCUCGCAGCGGUUCUGACGUGCAAAUCGAUCGUCAAAUCUGCGCAUGGGGGCGAAAGACUAAUCGAACCAUCUAGUAGCUGGUUACCG
rnacentral:rRNA from 1 species